ensembl:snRNA U6 U6 spliceosomal RNA
AAGCUCGCGUCAGCAGCACAUACACUAAAAUUGGAAUGAUACAGAGACAAUUAGCAUGGCCCCUGUGCAAGAAUGACACAAAUUCUUGACACAUUCCAAAUUUUU